rnacentral:rRNA from 1 species
GAGGUGGGAUCCCGGCCCCGCGGGGUCGGGCGCACCACCGGCCCGUCUCGCCCGCACCGUCGGGGAGGUGGAGCGUGAGCGCGUGCGAUAGGACCCGAAAGAUGGUGAACUAUGCCUGGGCAGGGC